CCUACGGGAGGCAGCAGUGAGGAAUAUUGGUCAAUGGACGAGAGUCUGAACCAGCCAAGUAGCGUGAAGGAUGACUGCCCUAUGGGUUGUAAACUUCUUUUAUAUGGGAAUAAAAUGUUCCACGUGUGGGAUUUUGUAUGUACCAUAUGAAUAAGGAUCGGCUAACUCCGUGCCAGCAGCCGCGGUAAUACGGAGGAUCCGAGCGUUAUCCGGAUUUAUUGGGUUUAAAGGGAGCGUAGGUGGAGUGUUAAGUCAGUUGUGAAAGUUUGCGGCUCAACCGUAAAAUUGCAGUUGAAACUGGCAGUCUUGAGUACAGUAGAGGUGGGCGGAAUGCGUGGUGUAGCGGUGAAAUGCUUAGAUAUCACGAAGAACUCCGAUUGCGAAGGCAGUUCACUGGACUGCAACUGACACUGAGGCUCGAAAGUGUGGGUAUCAAACAGGAUUAGAUACCCCAGUAGUC
rnacentral:rRNA from 1 species